rnacentral:rRNA from 1 species
UACGUAGGUGGCUAGCGUUGUCCGGAUUUACUGGGCGUAAAGCGCGCGCAGGCGGUCGUUUCAAGUCGAGUGUGAAAGCCCCCGGCUCAACUGGGGAGGGGUCACUCGAUACUGAUCGACUUGAAGGCAGAAGAGGGAAGCGGAAUUCCCGGUGUAGUGGUGAAAUGCGCAGAUAUCAGGAAGAACACCCGUGGCGAAGGCGGUUCUCUGGGACGGUACUGACGCUGAGACGCGAAAGCGUGGGGAGCGAACAGG